ensembl:lncRNA
AUGAAUCUGUUUGUGAUCAGUGAACCAUCUUUUGUUGUAAAAAAGUUAAUCUUAUUUAGAUUUGAAGUAUCCCGGUUUGUUUUCUUUUAUUCUUUGCGCUUACAGGGUUUACUAUACGUUACAGGUGACGUGAUGCCUCAGAAUGAUAUGAACUAUGAGGGCAGAAGAAGAGGAAUGCGUUACGGUGCCUGUAAAGCCAACGGCCAGGUCAGCGGUCACGUCCCACACAGAGCUGUGGUUAAUGGAGCCGUUGUUGACGUCGGCUCCCCGGAUGCUACCGCCAGAACCAGCAAGAGGACACCAGCUGGCCCACUGAAUGGUGCCAAACCACAAUGCAUGGUUAAUGGUUAUAUUAACCAUGGGUGCAAGGGCAAGAGUGUGAAAGCACCGCCGCCAAGGACACUCAGGAAACAAGGAAGCACAAAUUCAGCUGUCACUGAUGCCUCAGCAGCUCGCUGUGUCAGUAGUGCAGGCAUUCCACGUAGUAUCGCAGUGAAUGGGGACACCAGUCUAGACGCUGUUGCUUUGCCCUCUAAUUCUGACCAAAAGGCACCAGAGCCCAGCCCGUCUGCAGCAGCUAAGAAGCCGAGAAGAUGGAAGAAAUUCCUACCUAAAAUGAGAACAUACAGAACAGAGGACAACCAACAGGAUCAUUGUAGAGCCUCAACAAUGCCACCACAAGAGGAGGAGGACUGGGAAAAGGAGAUCCAAGAGGUCACACUGACUGACUGGGAGAAGAUGUGUUUUGGCAACCUACCAUAUGGUCCAGAAGAUUUGCUCCAUUUUUCUCUGCGGGAUUUGACACUUAAGCAAAGGGACACAGGUUACCUGCCGGUGACAGCCAAUUACAGCCCAACCGUACACCACCCACGCCCUGUCCGAUGGUCCUCCUACAACAUGCCCACUGUGCCAGAGCAGUUCGCAGACGCUGACGAGUAAGCCGGACAUAUGCUGUGAGGGGAUUGGUAGAAAUCAGUGAUCACAUACCAACAUUACUAAGGAGUUCUGUUGUAAAUGUAGUUAGCCCAUAUUGUUAGAUUUUCCAAUUUCGGGGAAUCUGGAUAGUAACCAUGCUCAGAUUAUUUGUUUAGUCAGUGUCUGUCUUUUUUUCCCCCUCAUCUAAAACGUUAGUGGAAGAAAUUAAACUUACUCUAGUUUAGCAUCAAAAUCAAAUGCUGUUAAUGCUGUCACGGGUCAGAGAGUGUAGGGUGGAUUCUAGGUUGCAGUGAGGUUAUUUUUUAUUAUUGUAGGUUUUAUUUUAUCAUUUAUAUUGAGAUUUUAGAUUUGUUUUAUAUCGCGUCAUAUUAAUUUGUUAAGCUUCUAUGAUCUUAAGGAAUGAUUUUAGCUAGCUCUCAUACUUUGCUGUUGUACCCUCUUUAGUGACUGUUGUUACUGAGUAUGGUCAUGCAUUUGCUGUUCUUCCAUUUAAUAUCUUCAUAAUUUUGCUAGUCUUCCAAGAACUGAAAUAAUAAUUUUUAUCUAAAGGUUUUUUGUGUUUUUAAAAUGCCUGAAAUGGGAACACUGUUGUCAUAAUAAGUUGCUCUUUCGAGCUAUGCGAUCAACUUUAUUGUUUAUAAAUUGCACAUUGUUCACAGCAAAUGAAGUAACUAUUUUAAUUUUGGGCAGCCAGCCUACCUGAGAAAUUAUGGUUUAAUUAUGUAAAAACAGCAAAUCGUUAUCUGCUUGUUCAGACCUUCAUUUUCACAACCACAAUAAAUCCAAUUUUCUUCUACCUUGUGGUCAAAUCGUGCAUGUUUAUCUCCACUAGUGGCUCCUCCAGUUAAAAUGAGCCUCAACGGUGUAGCUGGGCUGUUUUGAGUCCCAUUUUACAACAUAAACCAACAUAUUUGCUCAUUUUGCCUAGUUUAAUCUUUUCUUUUUUAGAAGUGAUGACAACUUUUGGCCACUAGAUGGGAGAGUUGGUGUAUUCCACACGCUUAUGGGAGUUCAAUGGGUUCAUUCCCAAGGACUUGGGAGACACAAGCACUUGCUUGCAUACUGUUCAAACCUCAUUUCUCCCUGGAGUUUUAUUCAGAAUGCAACUGAAGAUGGAGGCAACUGUCACUAAGCUGAUUAAUGUCAUCUAAUAAUUCUAAACCAUUCACAGACACCAUGUCAAUAAUAGAUUGUGGUCAUAAUCUCUCUAAAGUCGUGUUCUCUGAUGAGACUUUGCAGUUGAAUUUUAGGAAGAGCUCUGGGUUUGCUUUCUUUUUUCAAGCAAAGUAUGCAACAUCAGAUCCAUCACUAUCAAAGAAAUGAAGUAGCGUUUGAUGUUCCCCAGCCCUGUGAGUUUCACUGUUGAUGUUGAGGGAAAAAGUGACUGGAGGAGUGGUGUUGAUAGGGAAAGCUUGUGAUAUCGUUGUACUUUUCUGUUAUUUGUCGAGACUGCUGGAAGCUGGGGACUGAAUGGUCACUGAGUACCUUGUGUGUACCAUUGAACUGUUCAUAGGUGUUUCAGACAGUUAAAAAUGGAGAAAAUACCACGAUGUGUCUCAGUCAUUACCACUAUUCAAUCAUAGCAAGAAGUUGGAGUUUACAUGUCCUGUGUUUCUGUCUGAAGACAUGGAGGUUGGAUGCAGUGAAAAUACUGUGUGAAUGUGAAUGCAUUUCUUUGUCUGUUUAUUAUGUCCUUAAUGAACCCUGCCUCUCGAUCAAGCAGGGAUAGCCCUCAGCCCAUCUGCCCCUGAACAGGAUAAGUGGUUCAGAAAAUGGAUGGAUGAGAAGAGCACAAUGCCUAUCAAACAUUUAGAAUUCGAAAUAAAUUAUUAAUGUUAUCAAUCGAUA